rnacentral:rRNA from 1 species
AUUGAACGCUGGCGGCAGGCCUUACACAUGCAAGUCGAACGUGUGGCGGACGGGUGUGUAAUGCCUGGGAGACUGCCUGAUGGAGGGGGAUAACUACUGGAAACGGUAGCUAACAUCGCAUACCAUCGGAUGUGCCCAGAUGGGAUUAGCUAGUAGGUGGGGUAAAGGCUCACCUAGGCGACGAUCCCUAGCUGGUCUGAGAGGAUGACCAGCCAGACUGGAACUUAGACACGGUCCAGACUCCUACGGGAGGAAGCAGAGGGGAAGAUUGCACAUUGGGCGCAGCGCUGAUGCAGCAUAGCCGCGUGUAUGAAGAAGGAUGUCGCGUUAUAAAGUAAAUGUAGCCGGGGGGCGAUACGCGCCGAAGAAGCGCCGGGUACCUCCGUGCCAGCAGCCGCGGUAAUUC